CACAUGAAGCAGGGAUGACAGCCUUGAACUGAAGAAUGUGAUCUAUUCAACCCUAUGCCUCAUGUG
ensembl:snoRNA